rnacentral:rRNA from 1 species
CAAGGGGGAUUGCCUCAGUAGCGGCGAGUGAGCGGCAAGAGCUCAGAUUUGAAAUCGUGCUUUGCGGCACGAGUUGUAGAUUGCAGGUUGGAGUCUGUGUGGAAGGCGGUGUCCAAGUCCCUUGGAACAGGGCGCCCAGGAGGGUGAGAGCCCCGUGGGAUGCCGGCGGAAGCAGUGAGGCCCUUCUGACGAGUCGAGUUGUUUGGGAAUA